GGGGAGAGAGAGUCGUUCCCUUCCUCUCCUUCUCUUCUGCCUCCAAAAACGAGAUCGCUUCUUUCUUCCUUCUCUCUUUCUGCACUUUCUGGAUUCCAAUUACACUAAAAAGCAAUUUUAGAACUUUGUGAGAUUUAGACUCGAGAUAAGCUUCAGAGAGAGGGUCGUCGCUUAGAGGGAUACCUACCAAACAUUCGGCGAUUGCGAAUCUGGUAAGCUUCCUCUUCUCUGAAAUCGUUUUUGAUAUUGUCGUCUCAGAUCAGAGAGGCAUAGCAGGGGUGUUGUUUUAUCUGAUUUUCUGAAUUGAUUUUCUAAUCUGAUUAUCAUUGAGAAGCAUAACGAUGCCCAACUGAAAACAUUCUUCACCGCUUUCUUCUUCAUAGCAGGGGUUUACUUACUUGAUAUGUUGUGCUAUUGAUUCUGAUUUGGUUUUUCAUUUAAGUCUGUUAACCUCAUAAAAUUGAGAGAUUUUCGCAAGAUGUGUGUAAAGCAAGAUGAGAUGUCAGACUGAAAGUUUACCUCAAAAAAUUGAUCGCAACAGAUAUUUUCAGAUAUAAGACUGCCGUUAUUUGUCUUUUCCUUUUGUUUUUGGUGUUGCUAAGUGUAUGAUGAGAGAUAUUAGAAUUUAAUCUUUGUGUUGUGGUCUCUAGCUUUCCUCAGGGCUCCUGAUUGGGUAUCUUUCAUCUACUAUUUGCUUCUUCAUGCGUCCUAGAUUCCUUUCUUUUACAUAGCAUAAAUUUCUUAUU
rnacentral:lncRNA from 1 species